rnacentral:rRNA from 1 species
AGAGUUUGAUCAUGGCUCAGAACGAACGCUGGCGGCAUGCUUAACACAUGCAAGUCGAACGCGCAGCAUUCUGUAGCAAUACAGGAUGUGGGCGCGUGGCGAACGGGUGCGUAACACGUGGGCAACCUGCCCUCAUGUGGGGAAUAACCCCGCGAAAGCGGGGCUAAUACCGCAUAACAUUCCGAUGGCACAUGCUGUUGGAAUCAAAGGCCGCAAGGCCGCAGGAGGUGGGGCCCGCGCCCGAUUAGCUUGUUGGCGAGGUAACGGCUCACCAAGGCUAUGAUCGGUAGCCGGUCUGAGAGGAUGGCCGGCCACACUGGAACUGAGACACGGUCCAGACUCCUACGGGGGGCAGCAGUGGGGAAUCUUGCGCAAUGGGCGAAAGCCUGACGCAGCAACGCCGCGUGGGGGAUGAAGCUUCUCGGAGUGUAAACCCCUUUCGACCCGGAAGAACACCCGCAAGGGUUUGACGGUACGGGUAUAAGAAGCCCCGGCUAACUACGUGCCAGCAGCCGCGGUAAAACGUAGGGGGCCAGCGUUGCUCGGAAUUACUGGGCGUAAAGGGUCUGUAGGCGGUGUGGCAAGUCGGAAGUGAAAUUUCAGGGCUUAACCCUGAAACUGCUUCCGAAACUGCUGUGCUCGAGUGCGAGAGAGGCGAGUGGAAUUGCAGGUGUAGCGGUGAAAUGCGUAGAUAUCUGCAGGAACAUCCGAGGCGAAAGCGGCUCGCUGGAUCGCAACUGACACUGAGAGACGAAAGCUAGGGGAGCAAACAGGAUUAGAUACCCCGGUAGUCC